rnacentral:miRNA from 1 species
AAAAUUCGUAUCGCCGCCACUCCCACAAACGCCUACGACCAGCCAAUCCGGUUCUUGGUAACAAUUACAAUUAAACGUCGACUGGCUGUUUAAAAUUAGAAUUGUAAACAAUGCAAAAAUAUGUAGGUGGGGUCGUAGACGUUUGUGGGAGUGGCGGCGAUACGAAUUUU